rfam:Ophiophagus hannah scaffold1699.1, whole genome shotgun sequence.
CCUGAAUGAUGAGAAGCUAACAAAACUGACUUUAAAGAUGGAGGUCUGUGAUUAGCUCUACCUGACUU